rnacentral:rRNA from 1 species
AGAGUUUGAUCCUGGCUCAGAUUGAACGCUGGCGGCAUGCUUUACACAUGCAAGUCGGACGGCAGCACAGAGAAGCUUGCUUCUUGGGUGGCGAGUGGCGAACGGGUGAGUAACAUAUCGGAACGUACCGAGUAGUGGGGGAUAACUGAUCGAAAGAUCAGCUAAUACCGCAUACGUCUUGAGAGAGAAAGCAGGGGACCUUUGGGCCUUGCGCUAUUCGAGCGGCCGAUAUCUGAUUAGCUGGUUGGUGGGGUAAAGGCCUACCAAGGCGACGAUCAGUAGCGGGUCUGAGAGGAUGAUCCGCCACACUGGGACUGAGACACGGCCCAGACUCCUACGGGAGGCAGCAGUGGGGAAUUUUGGACAAUGGGCGCAAGCCUGAUCCAGCCAUGCCGCGUGUCUGAAGAAGGCCUUCGGGUUGUAAAGGACUUUUGUCAGGGAAGAAAAGGCUGUUGCUAAUAUCAGCGGCUGAUGACGGUACCUGAAGAAUAAGCACCGGCUAACUACGUGCCAGCAGCCGCGGUAAUACGUAGGGUGCGAGCGUUAAUCGGAAUUACUGGGCGUAAAGCGGGCGCAGACGGUUACUUAAGCAGGAUGUGAAAUCCCCGGGCUCAACCCGGGAACUGCGUUCUGAACUGGGUGACUCGAGUGUGUCAGAGGGAGGUAGAAUUCCACGUGUAGCAGUGAAAUGCGUAGAGAUGUGGAGGAAUACCGAUGGCGAAGGCAGCCUCCUGGGACAACACUGACGUUCAUGCCCGAAAGCGUGGGUAGCAAACAGGAUUAGAUACCCUGGUAGUCCACGCCCUAAACGAUGUCAAUUAGCUGUUGGGCAACUUGAUUGCUUAGUAGCGUAGCUAACGCGUGAAAUUGACCGCCUGGGGAGUACGGUCGCAAGAUUAAAACUCAAAGGAAUUGACGGGGACCCGCACAAGCGGUGGAUGAUGUGGAUUAAUUCGAUGCAACGCGAAGAACCUUACCUGGUCUUGACAUGUACGGAAUCCUCCAGAGACGGAGGAGUGCCUUCGGGAGCCGUAACACAGGUGCUGCAUGGCUGUCGUCAGCUCGUGUCGUGAGAUGUUGGGUUAAGUCCCGCAACGAGCGCAACCCUUGUCAUUAGUUGCCAUCAUUCAGUUGGGCACUCUAAUGAGACUGCCGGUGACAAGCCGGAGGAAGGUGGGGAUGACGUCAAGUCCUCAUGGCCCUUAUGACCAGGGCUUCACACGUCAUACAAUGGUCGGUACAGAGGGUAGCCAAGCCGCGAGGCGGAGCCAAUCUCACAAAACCGAUCGUAGUCCGGAUUGCACUCUGCAACUCGAGUGCAUGAAGUCGGAAUCGCUAGUAAUCGCAGGUCAGCAUACUGCGGUGAAUACGUUCCCGGGUCUUGUACACACCGCCCGUCACACCAUGGGAGUGGGGGAUACCAGAAGUAGGUAGGGUAACCGCAAGGAGCCCGCUUACCACGGUAUGCUUCAUGACUGGGGUGAAGUCGUAACAAGGUAGCCGUAGGGGAACCUGCGGCUG